GUUUCAACAUCAACCAUGUUUUCUGUAGCUCUGCUGCUGCUGUUGGCAGCUGGAUGUGUGAAGUGUGAUCAGUUGACACAGCCAGCCUCUGUGACUGUGCAGCCAGGUCAACGUCUGACCAUCACCUGUCAGGUCUCUUAUUCUCUCAGCAGCUAUCGCACUCACUGGAUCAGACAGCCUGCAGGGAAAGGACUGGAGUGGAUUGGUGGUGCACAUGUUGGAUACAGCACCUACAUGAAAGCGUCACUUAAGAACAAGUUCAGUAUCAACUCAGACUCUUCUAGCAACACAGUGACUCUAAAUGGACAGAAUGUGCAGUCUGAAGACACUGCUGUGUAUUACUGUGCCAGAGAGCGGUGGCCAUACUACUUUGACUACUGGGGAAAAGGGACAAUGGUGACCGUCACAUCAGCUGCUUCAACUCAACCAACUGUGUUUCCCCUGAUGCAAUGUGGCUCUGGGACUGGAAACACAGUGACUCUUGGCUGUUUUGCAACUGGCUUCACACCCUCCUCACUGACCUAUGCAUGGACCACAAAUGGGGCUGCCAUGACAAACUCCAUUCAGUACCCUCCGGUACAGAAAGGCAACCUCUAUACGGGAAUCAGUCAAAUCCAAGUGCAGAAACAGGACUGGGAUCAAAGACAGACUUUCCAAUGUGCCGUGACACAUGCAGCGGGAAAUCCACCAGCCGUUACUUUCCAAAAGCCAGUGCCUCCAAUUUCUAGGCUGCCAACUCUCAGCGUGUCUGCCUCCUCUGGUGGGGAAAACCUGGCUUCCUUCUCCUGCUUUGCCAAAGGUUUUUCACCAAACACUUACCAAUUCAAAUGGCUGAAAAAUGAGGAGGACAUCACCAAAAAAAUAGACGAGAUCAUGACAGCGUCUGAGGAAAGAGUGGACAAUGGAACGAAAGUGUACAGUGCUGCAAGUGUUCUCUUGGUAGAGUCCAGUGAGUGGGUCAUGGGUACUACGUUUACAUGUCUGUUUGAGGGGAGAGGUGAAGGCGACAUUCCAAGAUUUGUGAAUUCAUCUGUGACCUACCGCCCUGUAAUACCAACAACCCCUGACGAAUGUCCUGACGAAUAUGUGGACAUAACGAUCAUUGGCCCAACAAUGGAGGACAUGUUGGUACACAAAAAAGGGAAGCUUGAGUGUCAUGCCCUGGAAAACAAGAAAUCUAUUGACAAGAUGUACUUCACAAGCGAAAAAGGAGACGAAAUGCUUACUUCUGAAAAGAAACUGAUUGAUGGCAAUAAAAAAGAACACAUCAUUUCUAUUGACAUCACAUACGACGAAUGGAGCCUGGGGGUAAAGCGCAUCUGUGUUGUUGAACAUUCAGAGACUUUGGACCCAUUGAAGAAAGUCUAUGAAAGUGAUUUUGGAGGACAACCUCAGCGUCCUUCAGUGUUUAUGAUGCCUCCAGUUGAACAUACUAGAAAAGACAAGGUGACCCUGACUUGCUAUGUGAAAGACUUCUUGCCUAAGGAGGUUUACGUGGCUUGGCUUGUUGACGACGACGCUGCAGACUCAAAAGAUGCCCAGACCACAAACCCAAUAGAAAAGGAGGGACUCUAUUCUGCAUAUGGCCAGUUAACGGUCAGCCUCGAGAAGUGGAAACAGAAUGACGUGGUGUACAGCUGUGUAGUUUACCACGCGUCUGUGGCUAACACAACUAGAGCUAUUGUCAGGUCCAUCGGGUACAGAACAUUUGAAAACACCAACCUGGUCAACCUCAACAUGAACGUCCCUGAUACGUGCAAGGCCCAGUAGAUGUCACUCUGUGUUGUUGUGUCUUCUGCUGUUUGUUGUUUAAAUGUUUGUUGCUUGUGAUACAUUGUGUUUGUCUUUUUAAUGCAGACUGAAAAUCAAAAUAAAAAAAUGCUCUUUGCAACUCUU